rnacentral:rRNA from 1 species
GACGGAAGGUGCAAGCGUUGCUCGGAAUCACUGGGCGUAAAGGGUGCGUAGGCGGCUUGGUAGGUCUGGUGUGAAAGCCCCGGGCUCAGCCCGGGAAGGGCACUAGAAACUGCCAAGCUAGAGUGCCGGAGGGGAGAGUGGAAUUCCUGGUGUAGCGGUGAAAUGCGUAGAUAUCAGGAAGAACACCCGUGGCGAAGGCGGCUCUCUGGGACGGUACUGACGCUGAGACGCGAAAGCGUGGGGAGCGAACAGG